rnacentral:rRNA from 1 species
GACGAACGCUGGCGGCGUGCCUAAUACAUGCAAGUCGAACGAACCGCGACUAGGUGCUUGCACUUGGUCAAGGUGAGUGGCGAACGGGUGAGUAACACGUGGGUAACCUACCUCAUAGUGGGGGAUAACAGUCGGAAACGACUGCUAAUACCGCAUAGGACAUGGAAUCACAUGAUUCUGUGAGGAAAGGUGGCGCAAGCUAUCGCUAAGAGAUGGACCCGCGGUGCAUUAGCUAGUUGGUAGGGUAAAGGCCUACCAAGGCGGUGAUGCAUAGCCGACCUGAGAGGGUGAUCGGCCACAUUGGGACUGAGACACGGCCCAAACUCCUACGGGAGGCAGCAGUAGGGAAUCUUCCGCAAUGGACGCAAGUCUGACGGAGCAACGCCGCGUGAGUGAAGAAGGUCUUCGGAUCGUAAAGCUCUGUUGUUAGAGAAGAACAGCGCAUAGAGUAACUGUUAUGCGUGUGACUGGAUCUAACCAGAAAGCCACGCA